rnacentral:rRNA from 1 species
AUCGCUCCUUGAAAAAAUAUUAAUAAAGAGUACUGCCUGCCCAGUGACAAAAGUUAAACGGCCGCGGUAUUUUGACCGUGCAAAGGUAGCAUAAUCAUUUGUUCUUUAAUUGAGGACUAGAAUGAAUGGCAACACGAAAACUUAACUGUCUCCUUCUUAAAAAAAGAAAUUAAUAUUUUUGUGAAGAAACGAAAAUAAAAAUGCAAGACGAGAAGACCCUGUCGAGCUUAAGAAAAUUUUUAUAAAAAAAUAUAAUAGUUAAUUAUAAACUUUUACUAAAAAAUUGAAAUAAAAAUAUCUUUGGUUGGGGCAACCACGAAGAAAAAAAAACCUUCGUUCUAAAAAAAAAUUUACUAAUUAAAAACUUUUGAAAAGAAACGAAGAUCCAGACUAUGCUGAUCAGAGAAAAAAGUUACCGCAGGGAUAACAGCGUUAUUCUCUUUAAGAGCUCUUAUUGACAAGAGAGUUUGCGACCUCGAUGUUGGACCGGGGCAACCUAGAGGUGUAGCAGCCUCUAAAGGUAGGUCUGUUCGACCUUUAAAGCCCUACGUGAU